rnacentral:rRNA from 1 species
AUUGAACGCUGGCGGCAUGCUUUACACAUGCAAGUCGAACGGUAACAGGCCGCAAGGUGCUGACGAGUGGCGAACGGGUGAGUAAUGCAUCGGAACGUGCCCAGUCGUGGGGGAUAACUACUCGAAAGAGUAGCUAAUACCGCAUACGAUCUAUGGAUGAAAGCGGGGGACCGUAAGGCCUCGCGCGAUUGGAGCGGCCGAUGUCAGAUUAGGUAGUUGGUGGGGUAAAGGCUCACCAAGCCAACGAUCUGUAGCUGGUCUGGGAGGACAACCAGCCACACUGGGACUGAGACACGGCCCAGACUCCUACGGGAGGCAGCGGUGGGGAAUUUUGGACAAUGGGCGCAAGCCUGAUCCAGCAAUGCCGCGUGCAGGAAGAAGGCCUUCGGGUUGUAAACUGCUUUUGUACGGAACGAAACGGCUCUGGUUAAUACCCGGGGCUAAUGACGGUACCGGAAGAAUAAGCACCGGCUAACUACGUG